GUUACAAAUACAGUCCAAAAUACAGAACACCUUGAAAAAUGAAAUCGGAUCUCUUGUGGCUCACCAAUUUCUGUGUUUUCACCAUUGUUAUUGCUCAACAGUUCCAUUUUGUGAAAUGUGCAGUGCCCCGUUUGCCACAGCCUGUGUAUGACAGUGAUGGAAAUAUCACAUUUUUCUCAAAAAUUGUUGGUGGAAUAAGAGCCGAAGAAGGUGAUGUCCGUGGAAUUGUGUCAAUUCAAACGAUCGAAAACGAACACUUCUGCGGAGGAACAUGGAUCAGAUUUGGAAAUAGAUCGCAGAUUUUAACAGCUGCCCAUUGCGUCUUUGUUGAUGAUCAACUUAUUCCCGAAUCAUUCGUAUGUCCAUCGCUUCUAUUUCAAUUAAUGUUUGGACAUUUUGUUGAUUUAAUCAUGAUAUAUUGCUUAAAACGAUGAUUGAAACGGUUAAAUCUCACGAACUGAUUUGUUGUUGGAUUAAUUAACCUAACUACCGAAGCUGCAGAUAAUGGGUGACGAUUUAUCGAUUUCAAUAUCUUCGCCGGGUCCUCGUGGACAAAUUCGAAAAGUCAGAAAGAUAGUUCCUCAUCCGCAAUAUAGUCCGGACUAGACUGCUUCAAAAAAAAAGUUGUCCCUCAUCUGGAAUUUCCGGCCAGUUUCGAAAAAUAUACCUCAAAAAAAUAGGUUUGGCGCAAAGAUUGCACAUGGGUACCAUAUAAAAAACCAUAGCAAGCCCCACAUCAAAAUUUUCAUGACAGUGUUUUUGGAAGCCAUUUUAGAUCGCAACAUUUCAACCAAUUUCAUUAUCCCAGCUAAUUCUCGGCAAAAACUGAUGAUGAGGUUUUGUUUGGCUCGACAAUAUCUAUAACUUUUACCACAUCAGCCCUUGAAAAGGCAUUCUGGGCCAGUUAUAGUGUAAAAUGACCGAAAAAAUGACAAUUUUUCGGCACUUUUUGCAUCUUUUGCUCUACUGGCCACCCAGGUGGUGGACUUUUGUUCAGUUUUCGACUCGUGUCGUAUAGUCAGGGGCCGUAUAAAAAAUUUGGCACUUCUCAGAUUGCGAUUUGGAUGGAAUUUGGCGACAAUUGAUUCACACAUAUGCGACAAAUUUCUGGCCAAAAUGAGCAAAUCACAAACAUGUGCUUCGGUUUGACAGGUAAAAGCAAAUGAUUUCUACCUUUUCUGCCUUUGAACAUCUAGUAUGGUCCUUUACGAACAUUUUAAGUACCAACACGACCAAAUCGAGUGAUGUUUUCACAUAUUUCUGGCCUCAUAUUCGAUUUCAACUCCCAAAAAAUCGACUUUUGACCAAAAAAUCCUUAACACUAUGAUUGUUCUUGGGGCACCCAGGGCCCCCAGCGAACUUUAAAGUUGAAUAAAAGUACUAAACAGUGUAUAAACCAACCGGAGUUAAGUCUCAUUGUAUAGAUUGAACAUUUCUCUACACGAAUGAAAAAAAAAACAUAUGCAUAUGUGUGAGUAUGUGUAAAAUACAGCCUGCCGCAAAACAUGUUACGCUGUUGUUCUUGGGGGACCACAGGGCCCCAUGGCUAUUUUAUAUUAUAGCUGGACUAUGAUAAGAGAUAUCGACUUGGUGUCUAUGACGAAGUUGUAGUACUCAAGCUGCUCUACAACUUCGCCGUAGACAUCAAGUCGUUAUCUCUUAUCAGUUACGCGAAAAGCCGCGAAAACGUGAAAAACGCGAAUUCAUAGAUUCUCACUUUUCAAGGAACUGAUAAGAGAUAACGAGGUGGUGUCUAUGGCAAAGUUGUAGCUCUGGUCGAGUACUACAACUUUACUACGACACCAAGUCGUUAUCUCUUAUCAGUUACGCGAAAAAAUGAUAAGAAAAAAAUCGCGUUUUUCACGGUUUUCUGCGGUUUUUCGCGUAUUCCGCAAAACUGAUAAGAGAUAGCGAAAUAGUGUCCAUGGCAAAGUUGUAGUUCUGGUCAAGUACUACAACUUCACUACAGACACCAAGUCGUUAUCUCUUAUCAGUUACGCGAAAAAAUGAUAAGAAAAAAUUCGCGUUUUUCACGGUUUUCGCGGCUUUUCGCGUAACUGAUAAGAGAUAACGACUUAUAGUCUAUAGCGAAGUUGUAGCACUUAAGCUGCUUUACAACUUUGGUAAAGACACCAUCUCGUUAUCUCUUAUCAGUUUCGAGGAAUACGCGAGAAACCGCAGAAAACCGUGAAAAACGCGAAUGUUUUCUUAUCAUUUUUUCGCGUAACUGAUACGAGAUAACGACUUAAGGUCUGUGGCAAAUCAUAGUACUCGACCAGAGCUAUAACUUUGCCAUAGACACCAUCUCGUUAUCUCUUAUCAGUUCCGUGAAAAAUGAUAAGAAAAAAACGCGUUUUUUUCGCGGUUUUCAGCGGUUUCUCGCGUAUUCCGCGAAACUGAUAAGAGAUAACCAGAUGGUUUUCGGCAAAGUUGUAGAGCAGCUUGAGUACAACAACUUCGCCAUAGACAUCAAGUCGUUAUCUCUUAUCAGUUACGCGAAAACCGCGAAUUUUUUCUUAUCAUUUUUUCGCAUAACUGAUAAGAGAUAACGACUUGGUGUCUGUGGCAAAGUUGUAGUAUUCCACCUGCUCUACAUUUCUGUCGAAGAGGCAAGUCUCUUACUUCUUAUCAGCUUCACUAAAACGAUGUCGGAAAAUUUUGCGAUUUUCGCGUUUUUCGCGUUUUUCGCGGAACUGAUAAGAGAUAAGCAAUAUUUGUUGCGCCAAAAUUAUAGCAAACUUUGAGUAUUACAACUUUGCUUCAGACACUAAUUUGUUAUCUCUUAUCACAGUCCAGAUUUCAUAUGAAAUAUCUUGGGGGCCCUGGAGUCCCCCAAGAACAGUAAUAUGUUGCAAAUAUGAAGAACAGUCAUAGUGUUAAGUAUGGGCUUUUUAGGGAUGCUGUCUUGAUGAAAUGUUAUUUUUUCUCGAAAAUAUGGAGAGUCUACCCAGACAAAAACUCUCAAAAUCGAUUUUUUAAGGUACCUCUCGAACAAAAGUUACGUUUUUCAUGCAUUUUUCUAUGAAAAUAUCAUUUUUGUUCGGGAGGUACCUCAAAAAUACACUUUUUGGAUGAGUUUCUUAGUAAAAAGUUAUUUUGUUCGGGAAAUAUUGGGAAUCUAUUUAUACAGAAGCUCUUAUGAAUGAUUUUUGGGGUAUCUCUCGAACAAAAAAUGAUAUUUUCAUAGCAAAAUGCAUGAAAAACGUAACUUUUGUUCGAGAGGUACCAUAAAAAGUCAAUUUUGAGAGUUUUGUCUGGGUAGACUCUCCAUAUUUUCAAGAAAAAAUAACAUUUCAGCAAGACAGCAUCCCUAAAAAGCCCAUACUUAAGGAUUUUUUGGUCAAAAGUCGAUUUUUUGGGAGUUGAAAUCGAAUAUGAGGCCAGAAAUAUGUGAAAACAUCACUCGAUUUGGUCGUGUUGGUAUUUAAAAUGUUCGCUAAGGAUCAUACUAGAAGUUCAAAGGCAGAAAGGGUAGAAAUAAUUUGCUUUUACCUGUCAAACCGAAGCUCAUGUUUGUGAUUUGCUCAUUUUGGCCUGAAAUUUGUCUUCUAUGUCUGAAUCAAUCGGCACUAAAUUCCAUCCAAAUUGCAAUCUAAGAAGUGCCAAAUUGUUUAUACGGCUGCUGGCUACACGACACGAGUCGAAAACUGAACAAAAGUUUACCACCUGGGGGACCAGUAGGGCAAAAAAUUCAAAAAAUGCCGAAAAAUUGCCAUUUUUCCGGUCAUUUUACACUGUAACUGGCCCAGAAAGCCUUUUCAAGGGCUGAUGUCUUAGUGAAAGUUGUAGAUAUUGACGAGCCAAACAAAACCCCAUCAACACUUUUUGUCGAAAUUUGGUUGGAAUAAGGGAAUUAGUCGAAAUGUUGCGAUCCAAAGCGUGUUUUGUACUGUUGAUGAGUGUUCCCCGAAGUACUUCUUUUUCGUUUUAAAAGCACGUAAUAAUAACACCAAUAGCAGCAAAACGAUUAUUUCUACGGAAACAGUCACUUGUUGUAUAUUCACGUUAGUAGAUACAGUUGCUGUCGCUUCUGCUGCGCUAUGCUGUUCUCCAGAUGAAGACGGCCUAAACAAAAAGUAUGAGCCUACAAACGUUACUGCUGCUGCCACUGACAUUCCAAACAUAGUAAUGAUUACCAUUGUAACGAUCUAGAAUGCAAUUGGAAGAAUUGGAUUAAUGGUUCACACCACACUAACAAUAAUGUUUCACAUUUUUCCAUUCACUUAAAUUUUGUUCACUAAUAAAUCCAUGAUGGAUAAUACUUACUAUCAGUCAAUAGUUCACACCACACUAACAAUAAUGUUUCACAUUUUUCCAUUCACUUAAAAUGAGUAGAUUUGAAAUAUGCAUUUUACCAGUUUGUGGAUUUAUCAUUGGAAUAUUGAUAUGAUAGCCAUCGUCACCUUUCCAAUGCAAUAAUGGAUAUUGUAAUGCAUCAUAUAAUGCUGCGGUGAAGUUCAGAGACACGUUGUAAUUGCUCAUUUCUGCGUUUCUUGCUCAUUUCUCAUUCAUUUUAUUCUAUACUACAAAAAAAAUAGAAGAAGCAAAUUUCAAAAAAAAAAUGACAUUUUUGUGCUCAUGCUUUAGUGCAGCUAUACGAUUCAAUGUUUAUUCAAAUCAUUUUAAGCUGAAUGGUACAUGAAAAUUCAAAGAUAUGUAUUUUCGAAAGUGGCCAAUUGUAAUUCUUCAAGCGAAUAACAAUAAUAUUCAGAAGAUGCAGCAAAAAUGGUUCCAUCCCCUUCUAUGACAUUUUCAUUGAAAAAACGAAUGUCAUUGCACAUUGCACACUUGCCUGUGAUUAUGUGCUGAUCAUAAACAAAUUGUUAUAUUAUGUGUGAAGUAAGAAAUGGACAAUGUAUGCCGUUAUUGUUAUAAUGUAAAAUAAAAUUGACUUUACUGAAAUUCAAUGCAAAGAAAUGCAAUGCUCAGCGAAAACAGCAGAAAUGUGUGUAAUAUGCAAAUAUAUAUGGGAAAGGAACACCUUCACUCAAACCGUAAUAACUCGACAACCAAAACACAUACAGAGGUGUUUUUUACAUAAAAACCUUCGCAUAAACAGCACCUUUCAAAUGCUUGUCUCAGGUUUGAAUUUGCUCGACUCGUUCUUGAGUUAUGGAGCCUCAAUCAAUAUUGUCACUUCUUUUUAUAUCACAUGAAUAAAGAUGGAUCGCUUGAUAAGAGGAAGACAGUUGAAUCAUUGCUCUUUUUUCCAUGCCCGUAGCAACUAAGGGGCAAGGGGGGCUUUGCCCCUCCACGUGUUUUCACUGCCCACUCGUUUUUCUUAUAUAUGAAAGCAAUACCAUAAGGAAAAAUUGAAGAAAAAAAGGAAAAAAAAAAUUAA